UCCGUAGGCGGUGUGGUAAGUCGAUAGUGAAAUCUCUGGGCUUAACCCAGAGGCUGCUAACGAAACUGCCAUGCUAGAGUGUGAGAGAGGCGAGUGGAAUUACGGGUGUAGCGGUGAAAUGCGUAGAUAUCCGUAGGAACAUCCGAGGCGAGGGCGGCUCGCUGGAUCACAACUGACGCUGAGGGACGAAAGCUAGGGGAGCAAACAGGAUUAGAUACCCUGGUAGUCCUAGCCCUAAACCAUCAGGACUUGGGGUUUGCCCUGUACGGGGCAAGUCCCGUAGCUAACGCGUUAAGUCCUGCGCCUGGGGAGUACGGUCGCAAGGCUGAA
rnacentral:rRNA from 1 species